ensembl:lncRNA
CUUUGGAGCCCAGCUUCAGGAAGAAAGCGUCCACUUUCUGCUGAGAGCCAGCCCGGGAGAGGAUCUGGGUGCCCUCCUGCAGGGAGAACAGGCCAUCGUACACCAGAUGUGGAAGCACCGAGCCCACGUCCAGGGCCCGCAGCGCCCUCUCUCGGUAACUCCCGGGGAUCUCCGCGAGCAGCUGGGCCCGCCUCUCCCUUUCUCUCCGCGCCCUCGGCUCGCAGUGGUAGAACCAAGAGUCGGCGCCUCUCUCUGCUGCCCUGGCACGCGGAGGGCCCAAGAAACCGCUCCCCCCCGGGCCUGGCGGCUCCUCGACCUCCGCGGGCACCGUCCACACCGCGCGGGCAUCUGCAGGCCGACUCAUCCCGCCGUCCGGAGAGACUGCAGUUCUGCGGGGAGGGCUGGGAUUAAACCUGCAGUGCUGGCGGUCGUGCCCUAAGAGGAUUGCGCUGCACUGUGAACCCCUUGUGGGGGUGAACAUGAAAAGAGGAGCCAGAGGCAGCCUGACUGAAUCCCCUCCCGCUGAAAUUCCUCCUCCGGUUCCCAGAAUACAUCAUGCGAAGUGCCAGGCUGCAUGAAGCACAGCUGGAAUCAAGAUUCCUGGGAGAAAUAUCAAUAACCUCAGAUAUGUAGAUGACACCACCCUUAUGGCAGAAAGUGAAGAAGAACUAAAGAGCCUCUUGAUGAAAGUGAAAGAGGAGCGUGAAAAAGUUGGCUUAAAACUCAACAUUCAGAAAACUAAGAUCAUGGCAUCCGGUCCCAUCACUUCAUGGCAAAUAGAUGGGAAAAUAAUGGAAACAGUGAGAGACUAUUUUUUUGGACUGCAGAUGAUGACUGCAGCCAUAAAAUUAAAAGAUGCUUACUCCUUGGAAGAAAAGUUAUGACCAACCUAGACAGCAUAUUAAAAAGCAGAGACAUUACUUGGCCAACAAAAGUCCGUCUAGUCAAAGGUAUAGUUUUUCCAGUAGUCAUGUAUGGUUGUGAGAGUUCGACUAUAAAGAAAGCUGAGCACUGAAGAAUUGUUGCUUUUGAACUAUGGUGUUGGAGAAAACUCUUACAAGUCCCUUGGAUUGCAGGGAGAUCCAACCAGUCCAUCCUAAAGGAAAUCAGUCCUGAGUAUUCGUUGGAAGGACUGAUGCUGAAGCUGAAACUCCAAUACUUUGGCCAUCUGAUGUGAAGAGCUGACUCAUUGGAAAGGCCCCUGAUGCUGGGAAUGAUUGAAGGUGGGAG